GAUUAGAUACCCUAUUAUAUUUAAACAAAUUGGGUAGUAUUAUUAAUAAAAACCUUUAUACUUUGGCGGCAUUUUAUCUUAUUAGAGGAAUAUGUUCAUUAAUCGAAACCACACGAUAGUUUUUACUUACUAUAAAAUUUUAUAUACCCCCGUCUAAAGAAUUUAUUUAAAAUUUUUAUUCCAAAUUAUAUUAAAAAAAGUUAGGUAAAGGUGUAGACUAUUAGUAAGAUUAAAUGUAUUACAUUAAAAAAAAUUUAAGGAUAAAACAGUUAACUGUUUAUUAAAAGAGGAUUUAUAAGUAAUUUACUUUUAAUAAAAAUUAAUGAAUAAGAAAAUAAAUGUGCACAUAUCGCCCGU
rnacentral:rRNA from 1 species